rnacentral:lncRNA from 1 species
GGCGGCGCAGCGAGUCGUGACUCGGAAGUUGUCUAGUAGACUUGGAGGAAGCUGGAUGGUUGAAUUUGAAGUGGCUGUGGCUGUGGCUGUGGCUGCACCUGCACCGGCACGUGGACGUGAUGGUGGUGGUGGUGGUGGUGUGUGGGGUUUUGGGGAGGAUAGGUAACCCAGGGCGUAGGAUAGCAGGAGGAGGAUAAUAUACGCCGUUGGGUUAUUGAAGAGUUUCUUGGUUAUGUACAUGUUUACUUUGUGGUGGAAGCGGUGGUGGUCUUCUUUUGCUCACAUGUUUUGUCGUUUAUUUGGUGAAUUCUUGAUUGUUAAGACUAACUAAUUACUUGAUACAUACGGUUGAUUUAAAGAGAACAACAUCAAGUAAUCAACUACCAGCGGUGACUAACAAUAUACAAUUAUCUUUUCCACAAUUCUAUCUGUGUUUUAAUAAUAACAACUACAAUAAUAAUAUUAAGGUAUGCUUAUGAAACGACUGUCGACUAGGACUACAAAACUACCGAGAAAAAAAAUGGUGAUGAUGGUUAGUGUUUGUGAGAAGGAAAGAGGAUGGAUCUGCUUCUGCUGUGUGGGGUGAGUUAGUAGAAAUUGCGUGUUUACUACACGGAUGAUCAUGAAAAGACUCGAAAACUUGUUGAUUACGAUUUCAGAGGCAUUGUAAAAUACGGGUUGAGUUUUACAAUUCAGCUCAAACCUUUCCCAACCUUUGAUUGGAAUGAAAUGGUAUAAGCUAUGAUGUAUUGAUGAGGGAGAUUAUAGUCUAUUAUAUAUAUAUAUAUCUGCUGUACCGUACAUCCGCCUUGGCCGUACAGCAGAGUUGAAUGCGGAAUUUUUCGUCAUUCACUACGUUUCCAUAUUUAUUUUUGCAAUAAUAUUGUAUUUAUUUAGUUAGAACACUUAUGGUGUAUUUAUUUAUGGGUUUAAAAAAUUAGAAUGAAGGAAUGAGAAUUAAAUUAUUAAUAUUUAUCAUUAUUAUUAUUUAUUAAAAAUAAUAAUAACAAUAAUUAAUAAUAACUAAAAUAAUAAAGUUAAUAAAAUUUAAUAAUAAUAAUAAUAACAACAACAAAAACAAUAAUGAUAAUAUUGUUAAUAAUGAUAAAUUAAUUACUAUUAAUAUGGGUAUUUUGGUAAAUUAAUUAUCAUUCUCAUCCCUUAUUCCUAUUUAUUUUGCCAAGUAAACACAUCAAUGACAUUUCAGCACAUUCACAUUCUUAUUUAUUUUUGCCAAGUAAAUAUUGAAAUCUCAUUUUCAUUCGUCAUUCUCAUUCCAACCAAUUCUCAUUCUCAGCCCAUUCUCAUUUUACUCUAUUUCUAUUCUCAUGAAGUAAACACACAAUUAAAUUUAUAUCUUAAUUGAUGUAAUAAAUAACUUACUAUUAUUAUAUAAUUAAUUCAAGUGAUGAAUAAUUUUUUAAAUUUUUUUAUUCAAAUAAUAAAUCUCUAUUUAUGAUACACCAAUUAAAAUACAAACAGACUAAAUAUUCCAAGUAAAUAAAAAUAAUAUCACUCUUACUUUUCAAGAGUUGUUAUCUCAUAACCAGCAAACAGACGGCAACAACCAAUAACGGAUCAAGCAACCCUUUUUUUUCUGGGGGGUGUAAUUUUGAGUAUCACAUGACGGGACGGGAGAUGACAGGUAUACACGAGAUACAUAUGUGAAAAAAAAUCUAAGCAUUAACAGCAGAGUGGAUGACCCAGUGCUGCCCAUCAAUUUGAACUUUCAGACCGUUAAUCUUAGCAAACAAAUUUACCGCUCUCCUUACGCCUCUGUUAUCCGCAGCAGUAAAAUAAUCGUGGCCAAAAAUUACCCCACCGGGUCUCAAGAUCCGCCAAGCCCGGUUGAUAUCCGCCCAGGCCGAGUUAAAGUCAUGGCCCGCGUCAAUUUCUAUCAAAUCACCCACCACUCCCCACUCACAAAGUUUGGUUAAAGCCGAGCCGCUGGAAAACGGCACGGGCAAAACCGAAUCGAUGGCGUUUUGGUAAAUUACAUUCUGCAGGAACUGGAAAUAAAGUAAAACGUUGCCGUUUACCAUCGGAAUUUCCUUGAAUUUAUCGCGAAACCCAGGCCAGCCACGGAAGUCGUCGAUACAGAGAAUCUGAGAAUCGAGUCCCAAUUGGCGGGUCAAGUUGGCCAUGUGAAGAGCUGAGGCGCCGAGGAAGGACCCUACUUCGAUGAUGACACGCGGCCUGACUUUAUCAAUGAGGUUUCCGAAAACGGCACCGUAGGAGCCCCACCCCUUGAUGCGACGCCGGCGAAGUAGGUGACUAAUAUGCGGCGGCGGGAAAUUGACGUAAGGGGAGGUGCCGUUGAAGAUUCGGUCAAUGAUGGUUUGACGGACGAGUUGAGGAGGAACUGAGUCGGCGGCGCAGCGAGUCGUGACUCGGAAGUUGUCUAGUAGACUUGGAGGAAGCUGGAUGGUUGAAUUUGAAGUGGCUGUGGCUGUGGCUGUGGCUGCACCUGCACCGGCACGUGGACGUGAUGGUGGUGGUGGUGGUGGUGUGUGGGGUUUUGGGGAGGAUAGGUAACCCAGGGCGUAGGAUAGCAGGAGGAGGAUAAUAUACGCCGUUGGGUUAUUGAAGAGUUUCUUGGUUAUGUACAUGUUUACUUUGUGGUGGAAGCGGUGGUGGUCUUCUUUUGCUCACAUGUUUUGUCGUUUAUUUGGUGAAUUCU